AGCAGUUAGCCAGCGUAAUUUGGGAACGAUGGAUCAAGGAGUACGUGCCAUCGUUGAACCAGAGGACAAAGUGGUUCGGCGAAUCGAGGCCAUUGCGAGUUGGAGAGGUAGUGUACGUGGUCGAGGGUGCUAACCGGAAGUGCUGGGUCCGUGGAGUAGUUGAAGAGGUCAUCGCGUCCGGCGACGGAAGAAUCCGUCAAGCGUGGGUGCGUACCAGCACUGGAAGGUACAAGCGAGCAACAGUGAAGCUGGCCAGGAUGGAGAUAGACUGUGGUAACCCUGAGCCGGAUGAGGCCUCCGGGACAGAGUUACGGGCCGGGGAAUGUUCUGGCAGCACUGCACGAGCGCCGGUUACCACACAGCAUGAUUUGGACGAUGAGGCAGCGUGCGUAAGUGUCGGUUGACAGGUGUCAGAAUGACAGUAGCGAUGACAAGAGAAGGAGAGAGAGACGGAUAGCCGUCAAAUGUAUGCGAUGUAAAUAAAAACAAGAAAGGAAGAAAUUGAAUUAGUUUGAUACCAUUUGCAAUUGUGGAUAAUCGGUAGAAAAUAGAGGAAUAGUUCGAAAGUUUGUUCGGCGAUUAGAAAAGAAGUUAGAUUUUUGGUUGGAGUAGAAAUAGUUCCGCGAGUGACUAGUGAGCAUAUUGUCAGAUUUGGUCAGACGAUCACAAGCGAAAUUAGUAAGUAGAAGUAGAGUAGAAGUUUAUUUACAAUUAGAGCGGAAGGUGACAAACAUAUAAUCCGUAGUAUUUCCGAGCCGUGGACGAAAAUUGAGUGGUUGAGGAGCUUGAGGCCCGACGGGACGAGACAGGUUGGACAGCAAGCGGACUUGAGAAACCAGAUACAGAAUACGCACGACGAGGACGAGACUUCCAGCACAGUGGUCCAAAACCGAAUUUCUAUAGGACAAAAUUCGUUGUUGCGUUGUCUGUAAAGGAAGGUAGAAGGAAAGCCAGUGAAGGAGAAAGACAAACUAAAAUUGUAAGUGUGCUCAUUAGAAAUAAGAAAAAUGCUUAAUUGUAUGACUAUUGACGAUACAUUAAAUUCAUUACUUACAGUUUGAUCUGCCACAAUAAAAGGCCGAUUCACAAAAAUUGUUUGCGCCGAAUUUGAUCCGAACACU